GGCGGUGCCGUGCGGCGGCUCCGGCCCCUCAGGCGCGUGACGGCUCGAGGGCCGCGGCAGGAGGCCUCAGGCCGACAGCAUGUCCSCUGCGCCAGGUGCUCUGCCGUUUCAGGAGACAAACGGGCCCUCGCUGAGCUGCUGUCACGAGAUCCCAGUCCUGGUAAACAGGAGUGGGAGCUGUUUUCCUGCAAGCAGCUGCCUCGUUCGCKCCACAUUAAUAGCAAAAGUUAUUUAAGUUUCCUCAGAAUUCGGUGCUAAACACCCAGGUUCACGCUGCGUGCCUGGAUGUGUUCGCCUGUGCGUAUGUGUGAGAGAGACGCAGUCCUCUGCCGGCGUUCUGACGAGCUGCCUGUCACGCAGAGCAGAGCCUGCGCGGAGCUGGGCCGUGCUGAUGGAGACCCGCCCUCUCACCUCAGGGCUUUCUUGAGGGCCACGUACCGCACCGCAUUGCRUCAAGUAGGCAAGACUCGUAGUCCCCAAAGUAAUAUUUUCAAAAAUACAUUCGCAACUUAAAAACAUGGAUUGUAAUUUCAGAAUCAGUGGCUGCUUUGCAGGGAGGUGUCCAGUCCCUUGCAGUAGUAAGUGCCUAACUARGGCUGCGACCGACAACGGACCAUACCUAAAACCGAAUUGCUGUGAUCUUCGCAUUCCCAAUAAGCUUUGUGUUCACAGCUUGAUCCCAGGGCUCUGGCUCAGCUCUCGUUUCGCUGGACGGAGGAGUGUGGGUACACACAGCAGCCGGUCCCAGAGGCAGGUAGCAGCAGGGACCUCUUUCCGCGUGCAGCAGUACUUACUGGAACUGGAUUGCUCUCGUCUCUGAACUGUUGCUUCAGGCUUCCAAACAGGCAGCUGCAGCUGUACCAAGUCACCUUGCUGUGCUUGUUGUUCCUUCCCUAUUUGAGAAAACAGUAAGACAAUCCAGUACUGACACAGCCRGACACAUGAUUUGGUACCAUACAGUGAAUUGGCACAGAAGACAUUUMAGAGAAUUUGGCCAGAAAGAAGCUGUGAAGAAAGCAACAGAACAUGAAAACAUUUUGCAAAGGGCAUUUAAGGAGAACUGGCAUGAGAUGGGAAGAAGGGAUAGCACGAGGAGGAGUAGAAUGAGACAGAGUGGGAAUAUCGUGUGACGGGAACUGAGAUGCAUGGGAUACCUGGAUGCUGCAGAACAGCCAGGUGGGUCUAACAGGGAACAGAGAACAUGUGGAAGGAAAUGGCCAUAUCUGCAACAGAAGAACAAGUCAAAAAGCAAACAACAAUCAAACAAAAAACAGGURCAUGAUUCAGACCAGAACUGCACAAAACAAUCUUAUGCUAGCACUGAGGCAUAAAGCACGUCAGGAUGGUGUUCUUUAAAAGUGCGUCCUGCUCUUUUAGUAUAGUUUCUUUUGACUCCUGUAAAUAAAGGGAUCAUUCAAUAUUUCGUUCA
rnacentral:lncRNA from 1 species